rnacentral:lncRNA from 1 species
GACGGUUUUUUGGGAGUUUGAGAGGUAGUGGGAGUGUGGUAGACUGUUUUUAGGAGAAAAAUAAGGGAUUAAGGGUGGUUAUCGGAUAUUCUGUUAGUCUUUUCUUUUUAUUUUUUUCCCAAAAAAAAUCUGCACGUUUUCCCUUCCAUUCUCCCUGCCGAAUUCUCCUCUGCCAUUUUUCUUUUUCUUUUUUUGUUAGCAAAUCCCUUUUUCUUCCUUUUAUUGUUUUGACCAAGAUGUGUCUCUUUAUUCGGGAUUCUAUUUGAUCUUUGCGUUUUUCCCCGUUUGGUAAGUGGCUUAAGUUAUUGUAGUUUUGGCAUUCAAUUAUCGACUAAAGGUUGUGGUUUUCUGUUUUGGACAGCAGACAAUCGAGAAGAAUGAAGCCUUCCUCGUGUCACCUCGUAAUUAAAAUCACUAAGGGUGUUAGGGUAAGCAUUGGUCG